rnacentral:rRNA from 1 species
CCUGGUUGAUCCUGCCAGUAGUUUAUGCUUAUCUCAAAGAUUAAACCAUGCAUGUCUCAGUGCAAGCCACAUUAAGGUGAAUUUGCGAAUGGCUCAUUACAUCAGUUAUGGUUCCUUAGAUUGUACCCACAUUACUUGGAUAACUGUGGUAAUUCUAGACCUAAUACAUGCUAAUAGAGUUCCGACCAGAGAUGGAAGGAAUGCUUUUAUUAGAUCAAAACCAAUCGGUGGCGGGCUUGCUUUGCUCACCGUUUGACUUGGUGACUCUGAAUAACUUUGUGCUGAUCGCGCAGUCUGAUACCGGCGACGCAUCUUUCAAAUGUCUGCCUUAUCAACUGUCGAUGGUAGUUUCUGCGACUACCAUGGUUGUUACGGGUAACGGGGAAUCAGGGUUCGAUUCCGGAGAGGGAGCCUGAGAAACGGCUACCACAUCCAAAGAAGGCAGCAGGCGCGCAAAUUACCCACUCCCGGCACGGGGAGGUAGUGACAAAAAAUAACGAUACGGGACUCAUCCGAGACCCCGUAAUCGGGAUGAGUACACUUUAAAUCCUUUAACGAGGAUCUAUUAGAGGGCCAGUAUGGUGCCAGCAGCCGCGAUAAUUCCAGCUCUAACAGCGUAUAUUAAAGUUCUUGCGGUUAAAAAGCCCGUAGUUGAAUCUGUGUCCCACACUGUCUGUUCACCGCUCGCGGUGUUCAACUAGCAUGUCUGUGGGACGUCCUACCGGAGGGCUUAGCCCGUCAAAAGGCGGCCCAACUCAAAAUCCUACCACGGUGCUCUUCACCGAGUGUCGAGUUGGGCCGGUACGUUUACUUUGAACAAAUUAGAGUGCUUAAAGCAGGCUCAUUCGCCUGAAUAUUGUGUGCAUGAAAUAAUGGAAUAGGACCUCGGUUCUAUUUUGUUGGUUUUCGGAAUUCCGAGGUAAUGAUUAAUAGGGACAACUGGGGGCAUUUGUAUUGCGACGUUAGAGGUAAAAUUCUUGGAUCGUCGCAAGACAGAGAGAAGCGAAAGCAUUUGCCAAAUGUGUUUUCAUCAACCAAGAACGAAAGUUAGAGGUUCGAAGGCGAUCAGAUACCGCCCUAGUUCUAACCAUAAACAAUGCCAGCUAGCGAUCCGCCGAAGUUUCUCUGAUGACUCGGCGGGCAGCUUCCGGGAAACCAAAGCUUUUGGGUUCCGGGGGAAGUAUGGUUGCAAAGCUGAAACUUAAAGGAUUUGACGGAAUGGCACUACAAGGAGUGGAGCCUGCGGCUUAAUUUGACUCAACACGGGAAACCUCACCAGGUCCGGACACCGAAAGAAUUGACAGAUUGAGAACUCUUUCUUGAUUCGGUGGGUGGUGGUGCAUGGCCGUUCUUAAUUGGUGGAGCGAUUUGUCUGGUUAAUUCUUAUAACGAACGACAUUCUAGCCUGCUAAAUAGGCGUACUUUCCGGUUCUAGUUGUAUGUUCUAGAGAUUUUAUAUUCUUGCGACCCUCCCGAUAACCGGAAACCCAAACUCUUCGAAAUGCGGUUUCGUUCCGGCAAAUUUGGACAAUUCAAAGGUUCCUCAUCGAUUUUGUGUGCGCUUGCUUACUAACGUUUGUGAGCACAUCAUAAUCAUAAUACGACCUCAGAGCAGAUGAGAUUACCCGCUGAAUUUAAGCAUAUUACUAAGCGGUAGAAAAGAAACUAACUAGGAUUUCCUUAGUAGUGGCGAGCAAACAGGGAAGGGCCCAGCACUAAAUCCCGCGACCGGAAGCGGACGCUGGAAAAUGUAGUGUUAGGG